GGUGACUAGUUGACAGCGUUAGGGAGGGAAGGGGUGACUAGUGACAGAGUGAGGAAGGGGUGACUAGUGACAGAGGGAGGGGUGACUAGGGACAGAGUGAGGGAGGUGGUGACUAGUGACAGUCACCACCUCCCUCACUCUGUCACUAGUCACCACCUCCCUCACUGUGUCACCCCCUCCCUCUGUCACUGGUCACCCACUCCCUCCCUCACUCUGUCACCAGUCACCCCUUCCUUCCCUCUGUCACUAGUCACCCCUUCCCUCACUCUGUCACCUGUCACCCCCUCACUCUGUCA